AUGGACACGGAACGGGGGAGAACUGGUACCUGGCCAGGCCCCACGGAGCAGCUCGCACGUCUCCACUUACAUCUCGCGGACAUCAUGAGCAACCAGCUAGUUCGAGAAGACUAUAACCAGGCCCGUCCUCGGCGACCUAGGGCCAAACCCCAGGAAAAAGGCCCUCUGCGGUUCCUGGUCGAGGCUCGUCUCGUGGGAGCCCUCAUAGGUUUGAAAGGAUCGAGGAUACGCGCAAUGGAGACUCUUUCGGGAGCUCAGAUUAAAAUAGAUCUCUAUGGUCAAGAGGAAGACGGUGAAAAACCGGAAAAAGCGGAGGUACUAGUUUUUGGAAGCAGCCCCAGUAGAAUAAGGGCAAAAGAACUGGUUGAUUGUAUCAUCCGAUGGUAUCCACCCGCCUCCCCUGAUGCUGCAGAUGAAGCACAGAAGGCCGUUGCCCAGAUGUCCAUUCAGGAAAAGAAGUAAUAUGUAGCCCAGUUAGUUUUUUGUUAAUUUUAUAUAAAUAAAUUAUGUUUCCGUUUUUUUUCUGUUUUUCUU
rnacentral:lncRNA from 1 species